rnacentral:rRNA from 1 species
UGGGGAAUCUUGCGCAAUGCGCGAAAGCGUGACGCAGCAACGCCGCGUGGGGGAAGAAGGCCUUCGGGUUGUAAACCCCUUUCAGGAGGGACGAAGCUUGGCCGGUGAACAGCCGAGCCAAGUGACGGUACCUCCAGAAGAAGCUCCGGCUAACUACGUGCCAGCAGCCGCGGUAAUACGUAGGGAGCAAGCGUUGUCCGGAAUCAUUGGGCGUAAAGAGCGUGUAGGCGGCCCGAUAAGUCCGCUGUGAAAGUCACAGGCUCAACCUGUGAAAGCCGGUGGAUACUGUCGGGCUAGAGUCCGGAAGAGGCGAGUGGAAUUCCUGGUGUAGCGGUGGAAUGCGCAGAUAUCAGGAGGAACACCAAUUGCGAAGGCAGCUCGCUGGGACGGUACUGACGCUGAGACGCGAAAGCGUGGGGAGCAAACAGG